AUGUUACCAGAUGGUAGCAGUUCAGAGGCAACACCGCCGGAGAGCAGUCUGAGCAGAGAUAUUAUAGUUCUUGAUGCUCUACUAGAGGUAGAAAGAGAUGGUGUGGCUGCCAUGAAUGAGGUAAUCUCGAUCUUGAAGCUGGAAAUCAUGCAAUUAGCUGCACGCAUUAUGCAAGCAACCCAAGAAUUGGAGGAAGUAAGAAUGUUGCAUUUGAAGACGGAGGAGGUCCUGCUGCUUCUGCUAUCUGAAGCCCAGGGUAAUCCCAGUUCUUCUUUAGAUACCAGUUGA
rnacentral:rRNA from 1 species